rnacentral:rRNA from 1 species
CAGCCCUAAACGAUGCGCGUUAGGUGUAUCGGUGACCACGAGUCACCGAGGUGCCGAAGGGAAACCGUGAAACGUGCCGCCUGGGAAGUACGGUCGCAAGGCUGAAACUUAAAGGAAUUGGCGGGGGGAGCACCACAACGGGUGGAGCCUGCGGUUUAAUUGGACUCAAUGCCGGGAAGCUCACCGGAUAAGACAGCGGAAUGAUUGCCGGGCUGAAGACCCUGCAUGACCAGCUGAGAGGAGGUGCAUGGCGUAGACGUCU